GAUGAACGCUGGCGGCGUGCCUAAUACAUGCAAGUCGAGCGAUGCGGGGACGGGUGAGGAACCCGCGGAUACCCUCCGAUAACACUGGGAUAACUUCGGGAAACCGGAGCUAAAUCGGAUAUUUAUGUAUCGAUCCGCGCUGCAUUAGCGAGUUGGUAAGGUAACGGCUUACAAAGGUAACGAUGCAUAGCCGACCUGAGAGGGUGCUGGGCCACACUGGAACUGGGAAACGGCCCAAACUCCUACGGAAGGAAGCAGUAGGGAAUCGUCCGAAAUGGGCGAAAGCCUGACGGAGCAACGCCGGUGGAGUGAUGAAGGUCUACGGAUCGUAAAACUCUGUUAUUAGGGAAGCGGUACCUAAUCAGAAAGCCACGGCUAACUACGUGCCAGCAGCCGCGGUAAUAC
rnacentral:rRNA from 1 species